rnacentral:lncRNA from 1 species
AGUUUUAUUAAAAGAAAAAGGGGUGAAAAGAACAAAAUUUUGUCCAUCUUUGUUCAUCAUAGCUGAAAGUUUGAGAAGAGAAAGGAGUGGAGAAAGCUCUUGAGUGUUCGGUCACUUGGGGAAGAAAAUUGAAGGUAAGCUCAUGGUAGUUGGCUUCUAUCUUGAUGUUCAUGAGUUCUUCUUGAUUCUACCUUAACUCUUGAAGUAUAUUUUGGUUUUUAGUUGUGUUGUGAGCAUUUAGUCAUGAAUUAAAAUGAAGGAAAUGGUUGUUGUUUCAUGUUCUUUUGAUGAAAAAAAAUGGAAGAUAGGUGAAGUUGAGCCAAACAAAUGAGCAUGCAUGUGCCUUAGAUGUUAAAGGGAAAAAUCAGCUAACAUGUUGUACUUUAAAAUGAUGAAAUAGAGAUUAUUCUUAAGUAAAAUCAUAGAUAUGUGAUGAUUGAUUGGUGAUAUACAUGUUUAAAUAACAUGCAUGCAAGGUAUGUGUGAAAGAGUGAUUUGGUAAUAAAUCUGCUUGGGACAGCAGCAGUAACGUGACUUUGGAAAAUCACCAUAAAUUUUGGGAGAUGAAUUAGAAGCUGAAUAAAUUAUGUAAUUAAAGCUUAUUGAGUCUAGUUUCUAAUGAAAUAAACAAGAAGAUAUUUUGAAUUCUGUACAAUGAGAAAUUUGAUUCGUAAUGAAGAGUGGUCAAAUUAGUCAAAUAGUGAAACACAGGAAACUUUGAGAAAAUUCUGGUAUUGAUUGGCUAAAUAAAAAAUUCUUAAAAUUUUAUGGAUAGAAGAUAUAUGAGUCUAUUUUCAGGGAAAAUUAACGGAACUUGAUUUGGAGUUUCGUAGCUCCAGUUAUAAAUAAUUUAGUGACUGUUGCUUAGGAAGACAGCUUGCAGUGAAAUUAUGAUUAUGUGGUAAACAUUGACAAAAAUUUAUUAAUGAGUUGCUUAUUGAUUUCUUAUAAGCUUACUAUGAUCUGUAGGUGUGGUUGGCCAAAUAUUGUAAGGGGUUAAUACGUAGUUUGUAUUUGAAUAGUUAGAUUAACGUGUUAGUAAUCCAAUUGUAGGCAGUUCGUGUGUGGAUCUUGUCAGCAUAUCGUCGCAAACAGGUGUGUAACUAACACCCUCUUUCUUAGUCUGGAUCGGCAAAAGCCGAAAAUCCGAAAUGCCGAAAACCGGUAUUUUGUAGAUUUGCGAGUGUGCGAAUGCUCGUGAGGUAAAUCGAUUAAUGUUUUUGGUAAGCUGCAAUGUUUGGACUGCAAAGUGCAUGAUUUCUGUGCCCUCGAUAUUUUUGGGCUUAAUGGGCCAAAAUUGGAAUGAUGGGCCAACGGGCCCAAUUCGGUAAGAACCGUCGGUAGUGAUUCUGUUAGUACGUGAAAGGUAGGAAUAUGCAUGAAAAACCCUAAAAUAGAUAAAUUACUGAAAUACCUUUAAAAGUGGAAAAUUUACAGUUUUACCCUUAGGAGAUAAAUUACCGAAAUACCCCUAGGGUUAAAUUGACCUAAAUGCAUGUUUGACUGUUGUUAUUUACUGCAUGCCAUGUUUUUAUUAUCUGAUGCAUGGGACUGGGAUAUUGACGUAGGAAGUACUGAAAGUGGCUUGUCCACGUACUGGAGGCUUUGCCUCAAUUUACUGUUAACUGAGCAGCAAGGCUGCAACUGUGGAGUGUUGGGCUGGGUGGGUUGAGCUAUUCCUCACAUGGAGUGUAUGGCUGGUACAGGUGGAGUGUAGUGGUUGGUGGGUUGAGUAGUCUCUCCAAAUGGGCUUGCAUAUGUUUACUGAUGUUGCAUGUAUUUUGAAAUGGGCCUAUGGGCCAUACUGUUAUCUGAAUAAGGGGCUAAGGCCCAGUACCACUGUUACCCAAAUGUGCUUGCAUAUGUUUACUGAUGUUGCAUGUAUUUUGAAAUGGGCCUAUGGGCCAUACUGUUAUCUGAAUGGGCUUAGGCCCAAUGGGCUUGAGCUAACUUGAGCUUUGAAUGGGUUUUCCUUACACACUGAGUUUCCCCAAACUCACCCCUUUUAUUUUCAUCCACGCAGGAAAUCCCCAACCAUAGUGGGCUUGGAGCUGUGAGGGAAUUCGGAGUGGCCACCCGUUCUGAAAGUUUGAUUUUCUUCUGGUGAACUGGACAUCCUUUUAUUUACGUUUGAGGUUUUGGGUUUUUAAAUGUAAUAAGGCCGCUUAAUUAUUUUUGAUGGUUUUAAUAUGUAUUACUAAGAUAGGUAAUACUUAUUUUAACUGUUGAAAUUGGAUAGCUUUAGGGCGCGUUUUCAAAAACAACAGUUGAUUUCAAAAUAACACGACAACAAGCAAAGCUUCUGCAAUGAAAGUAUUUUUCCAAAAUUAAUCACUUUUCCUAAAAAUGACUUAAUCAAAUCGGUUUCCUAGAAAUAUCCAUGACGUUAAGGUGUGCCAAUGGCAGUAUGCAUGUCUAGGAUUGGAUCCGAAGGGAGCUUGGUACUUAAGCAGUCCGAUGGACUCACCACCUCUUUUCCGGUUUCCUACCUGGUGCACAGCUUCCAUUCACUUUAACCCUUAAUGAAUUAAUUUUUUGAACAUCAAGUACGAUUUUCUGGACUUAGAAUGGAAAUUUUUUUUUAACAUUUUUGAUGUGGCAUGUCGGAUCCGGCCAUAACUUCUGGGCCGGGUUUGGGGUGUUACAUUUAGUGGUAUCAGAGCCUAGAUUGCAACAACUAUGCUGUGGAAUGGGUUUACAAAAACAAAGAUUUUCGAAAACGAAAAUUUUAUAAAUAAUGUGAAAAACUCGAUUUUCAAAAUUUAGAUCUUUAGAAGGUGGCAUUUCGAAUCUCCGGCUCAAGCCUGUAAGUAUUACUCUGAACUCUUCUGAAUAUUUUUCUGACUUAUCUAUCUGUACUGAAAUCCUGCUAGGAUACUCUAGAUAGGAUGAUACUGAAAUCAUAGAAAAAUCUGAUAAGAGACUGAAACUGUAGCUAGACUUCGAUUCUGCGAAAACAAACUCUGAACUACUGUCUGAUUCAUAAAACAUCUGCAAUAAACACUAGAAUAUUAAUUGAUGCAUAAAAAUUAGUAAUCAAGAUAAUACGAUAUGAGUACAAGAGGCCGUGGACGAAGCCGAGGAAGUGCUCGAGCGAGAUCUUCGUCUUCGAGACAUAUACCGACGGUGGAUGCACCGGUACUACCUGCAACAGAGGUAGAGUCUCAUGACCGCAGUGCCGGGGAUGAUGCCCUGUCACAGGUAAUGCUUCGUGUUCUGAAAAGGGUUACCGGGGCAAGUACGGGCAAUGGAGUUCGGGGAUUCAUUUUUGAACGACUUCGGGCCAACGGAGCGGAGAUCUUUAGGGGUGUGUCUGGUAUCGCCUCGAAUGUGGCAGAAUAUUGAUUGGAGGCCACAGAACGGAUUAUGGACAACUUGGACUGCUCUGAGGAGAUUGUAAGUGGGGUAUCUGUACUAAGUCCUUUGGGUCACUCGGUUAGGGUAGACAAACUGUAUAGGGAUGUACCCUUGGAAACUCAAGGUAAGAUUUUCCCUGGAGAUCUGAUGGAGUUACCGUUCAGAGAGUUUGAUCUCAUUUUGGGAAUGGACUGGCUUGUUAAGCAUAAAGCGACUCUAGAUUGUGCUGCUAAACGAAUGGUGUUAAGGACCACAAAGGAUGAGGAGGUUAUGGUGAUAGGUCAGCGAAGGGAUUAUUUGUCCAAUGUGGUGUCAGCUUUAAGAGCCAAAAAGUGGAUUCGGAAAGGUUGUGAGGCCUAUUUGGCAUUUGUAAGUCAGUUAGAAGAGGAGGGACUGACAGUGGAUAAGGUUAGGACUGUAAAGGAGUUCCAAGAUAUUUUUCCGGAGGAGCUUCCAAGAUUGCCUCCGAACCGAGAAGUUGAGUUUGGAAAAGAUUUGUUGCCUAGAACGGCGCCCGUGUCCAUCGCACCGUAUAGGAUGGCAUCGAAGGAGUUAGUGGAAUUAAAGACUCAAAUUCAAGAGUUGCUGGAUAGGGGCUUCAUUAGGCCAAGCGUGUCUCCAUGGGGAGCACCGGUGCUAUUCAUGAAAAAGAAGGAUGGUACGAUGCAGAUGUGCAUUGAUUAUUGCCAGUUGAACAAACUGACGAUUAAGAAUAAGUAUCCACUGCCAAGGAUUGACGAUCUGUUUGACCAACUUAGAGGAGCUUUUGUAUUUUCCAAGAUCGACCUUCGAUCUGGAUAUCAUCAGUUAAGGGUCAAGGAGGCAGAUAUCCAUAAGACAGCAUUCAGGACUCGGUAUGGUCAUUACGAGUUUCUGGUUAUGCCAUUUGGACUGACGACCGCUCCUGCAGCAUUUAUGGAUCUGAUGAAUCGUGUGCUCCAACCAUUUUUUUAUCAGUUCGUAGUCGUCUUUAUUAACAAUAUCCUGGUAUAUUCUGAAACUGAAGCGAAACAUAAUGAACAUCUCCGUAUAGUGCUGCAAGUGUUAAGGGAGAAGGAACUCUUUGUGAAUUUUGGUUGAGGGAGGUAACCUUCUUAGGACAUGUGGUCUCUGCCGAAGGGAUUAAGGUGGGCCCUCGAAAGAUUGAAGCAAUUUUGGAGUGGAAGCCACCUAGGACGGUGUCAAAAAUUCGAAGCUUCCUAGGGUUGGCAGGAUACUAUAGAAGGUUUGUGGAAGGUUUUUCUGUGAUGGUAGCACUUUUGACAAAACUCAUAAGGAAAGGAGUACCAUUUGUAUGGACUAAGAAGUAGCAGGAAGCUUUUGAGAAGUUGAAGAAAGUUCUGACUGAAGCACCUGUGUUAAUUCAGUCGGAGUCUGGGAAUGAUUUUACUGUGUACAGUGACGCAUCACACGUGGGUUUGGGCUGCGUGUUAAUGUAAGAGGGUAAGGUGGUUGCAUAUACAUCACGAUAGCUUAAGCCUCAUGAGGGAAACUAUUUGACUCAUGAUUUAGAGUUGGCAGCAGUGAUAUUUGCACUUAAGAUUUGGAGACAUUACUUGUACGGAGAAAGGUGUAUUAUAUACACUGACCAUAAGAGUCUUAAGUAUUUGUUGACUCAGAAGGAGCUGAACCUUAGGCAAAGGAGAUGGAUUGAGUUGCUUAAGGAUUAUGACUGUUCGAUCGAGUAUCACCCAAGCAUGGCUAAUGUGGUAGCCGAUGCUCUAAGUCGUAGAGCUGUAUCUGAUCUGAGAGCAAUGUUUGCUCGUCUGAGUUUGUAUGAUGAUGGAAGUCUGUUGGCUGAGUUGCAAGUGAGGCCAACCUGGUUGGAUCAGAUUAAGGAAAAACAGUUGAACGAUGAGUCUUUGGUCGCUCGUUUUCAACAAGUUAAGGAAGGGGAAACUUCUGAGUUUGGGAGCCAGAAGAGACGAUGCAACAGCAAUACCCUCAUCUGUUUGGAUUAGGUAAAUUUCGAGGACGAAAUUUCUUUAAGGAGGGUAGAGUUGUAACGCCCCAAUUUUUGGGAAUUCUGUGAAUGUUGGCAAAAUUUUAUGCUUUAAUUUUGUCAUUUGUGAGUGAAAUUAUGAAAUAGGACCUAUGUGAAAAUGUUUGAAAAUGCUAUAGGCUAAAUUGAAGUGACCAAAUAAAUAGGAGUGCAAAAUAGGAGGAUUUGCAUGACAAACCUCCCAUUUUACAUGAAGUGGCCAGCCAUCAUGUUGUUGUAGACAAAAUGUGCACUUGAUAUCCAUAAUUUAUGGUACAAAUUGAUACAAAUUGAUAAUAGGUUAGGUAAAUGUUCCAUGAUAAUAGGUUAGGUAAAUAAUCCAUGAUAAUGGGUUAGGUAAAUGUUUCAUGAUAAUGGGUUAGGUAAAUGUUUCAUGAGAAGAAUUUCAUGUCUUUUGUAUUAAAGAAUUAAAUGGAUGAAAUAUGAAGUUUUAUUAAAAGAAAAAGGGGUGAAAAGAACAAAGUUUUGUCCAUCUUUGUUCAUCAUAGCUGAAAGUUAGAGAAGAGAAAGGAGAGGAGAAAGCUCUUGAGUGUUCGGUCACUUGGGGAAGAAAAUUAAAGGUAAGCUCAUGGUAGUUGGCUUCUAUCUUGAUGUUCAUGAGUUCUUCUUGAUUCUACCUUAACUCUUGAAGUAUAUUUUGGUUUUUAGUUGUGUUGUGAGCAUUUAGUCAUGAAUUAAAAUGAAGGAAAUGGUUGUUGUUUCAUGUUCUUUUGAUGAAAAAAAAUGGAAGAUAGGUGAAGUUGAGCCAAACAAAUGAGCAUGCAUGUGCCUUAGAUGUUAAAGGGAAAAAUCAGCUAACAUGUUGUGCUUUAAAAUGAUGAAAUGGAGAUUAUUCUUAAGUAAAAUCAUAGAUAUGUGAUGAUUGAUUGGUGAUAUACAUGUUUAAAUAACAUGCAUGCAAGGUAUGUGUGAAAGAGUGAUUUGGUAAUAAAUCUGCUUGGGAUAGCAGCAGUAACUUGAAUUUUGAAAAUCACCAUAAAUUGUGGGAGAUGAAUUAGAAGCUGAAUAAAUUAUGUAAUUAAAGCUUAUUGAGUCUAGUUUCUAAUGAAAUAAACAAGAACAUAUUUUGAAUUCUGUACAAUUAUAAAUUUGAUUCGUAAUGAAGAGUGGUCAGAUUAGUCAAACAGUGAAACAUGGGAAACUUUGAUAAAAAUCUGGUAUUGAUUGGCUAAAUCAAAAAUUCUGAAAAUUUUAUGGAUAGAAGAUAUAUGAGUAUAUUUUCAGGAAAAAUUAACGGAACUUGAUUUGGAGUUUCGUAGCUCCAGUUAUAAAUAAUUUAGUGACUGUUGCUCAGGAAGACAGCUUGCAGUGAAAUUAUGAUUAUGUGGUAAACAUUGACAAAAAUUUAUUAAUGAGUUGCUUAUUGAUUUCUUAUAAGCUUACUAUGAUCUGUAGGUGUGGUUGGCCAAAUAUUAUAAGGGGUUAAUACGUAGUUUGUAUUUGAAUAGUUAGAUUAACGUGUUAGUAAUCCAAUUGAAGGCAGUUCGUGUGUGGAUCUCGUCAGCAUAUCGUCGCAAACAGGUGUGUAACUAACACCCUCUUUCUUAGUCUGGAUCGGCAAAAGCCGAAAAGCUAAAAUGCCGAAAACCGGUAUUUUGUAGAUUUGCGAGUGUGCGAAUGCUCGUGAGGUAAAUCGAUUAAUGUUUUUGGUAAGCUGCAAUGUUUGGACUGCAAAGUGCAUGAUUUCUGUGCCCUCGAUAUUUUUGGGCUUAAUGGGCCAAAAUUGGAAUGAUGGGCCAACGGGCCCAAUUCGGUAAGAACCGUCGGUAGUGAUUCUGUUAGUACGUGAAAGGUAGGAAUAUGCAUGAAAAACCCUAAAAUAGAUAAAUUACUGAAAUACCUUUAAAAGUGGAAAAUUUAUAGUUUUACCCCUAGGAGAUAAAUUACCGAAAUACCCCUAGGGUUAAAUUGACCUAAAUGCAUGUUUGACUGUUGUUAUUUACUGCAUGCCAUGUUGUUAUUAUCUGAUGCAUGGGACUGGGAUAUUGACGUAGGAAGUACUAAAAGUGGCUUGUCCACGUACUGGAGGCUUUGCCUCAAUUUACUGUUAGCUGAGCAGCAAGGCUGCAACUGUAGAGUGUUGGGCUGGGUGGGUUGAGCUAUUCCUCACAUGGAGUGUAUGGCUGGUACGGGUGGAGUGUAGUGGUUGGUGGGUUGAGUAGUCUCCCCAAAUGGGCUUGCAUAUGUUUACUGAUGUUGCAUGUAUUUUGAAAUGGGCCUAUGGGCCAUACUGUUAUUUGAAUAAGGGGCUAAGGCCCAGUUUAUUGUAAUCUGAAAAAGGCUCUGGCCCAGUACCACUGUUACCCAAAUGGGCUUGCAUAUGUUUACUGAUGUUGCAUGUAUUUUGAAAUGGGCCUAUGAGCCAUACUGUUAUCUGAAUAAGGGGCUAAGGCCCGGUUUAUUGUAAUCUGAAAAGGGCUCUGGCCCAGUACCACUGUUACCUGAAUGGGCUUAGGCCUAAUGGGAUUGAGCUAACUUGGGCUUUGAAUGGGUUUUCCUUAUACACUGAGUUUCCCCAAACUCACCCCUUUUGUUUUCAUCCACGCAGGAAAUCCCCAACCAUAGUGGGCUUGGAGCUGUGAGGGAAUUCGGAGUGGCCACCCGUUCUGAAAGUUUGAUUUUCUUCUGGUGAACUUGACAUCCUUUUAUUUACGUUUGAAGUUUUGGGUUUUUAAAUGUAAUAAGGCCGCUUAAUUAUUUUUGAUGGUUUUAAUAUGUAUUACUAAGAUAGGUAAUACUUAUUUUAACUGUUGAAAUUGGAUAGCUUUAGGGCGCGUUUUCAAAAACAACAGUUGAUUUCAAAAUAACACGACAACAAGCAAAGCUUCCGCAAUGAAAGUAUUUUUCCAAAAUUAAUCACUUUUCCUAAAAAUGACUUAAUCAAAUCGGUUUCCUAGAAAUAUCCAUGACGUUAAGGUGUGGCAAUGGUGGUAUGCAUGUCUAGGAUUUGUUCCGAAGGGAGCUUGGUACUUAAGCAGUCCGAUGGACUCACCACCUCUUUUCCGGUUUCCUACCUGGUGCACAGCUUCCAUUCACUUUAACCCUUAAUGAAUUAAUCUUUUGAACAUCAAGUACGAUUUUCUGGACUUAGAAUGGAAAUUUUUUUUUUAACAUUUUUGAUGUGGCAUGUCGGAUCCGACCAUAACUUCUGGGCCGGAUUUGGGGUGCUACAUAUACUACACCGAAUUAAUAUUGGUAAUUAGGCUACUUAAUGGAUAAUUACGAUACUUUCCCAUAUAUCUGUUCCAUAUAUAUAGCUUUCUAAUAUAUCUUCC